UCACCUGGUAAAGAGAGUUAGUACCUAGUAAGGAGAUGCCAGGGAUGUGGUUAAGCAUAUCACAAUGUCAAACACAAAUCCCCUAAAACAAGGAAUUAUCCUAGUCACAAUAUCAAUAAGACAGAAUGACAAAUUCCUUGCGAUGAAUGAGCAUUGAAAUUUGAAAUCAAAGGAGCCUGAUUUGGAUCCCAAGCACCUUGGAUAGGUACUUCUUGCUCUUCUGAGGCUCAGUUCCCAUAUGUAUGAAAAGAGAGAAUAUUCUUUCUCAAACGUUGUAGUAAAGAAUGAAAGAAAGCAGGGCACCAGUGGCUCACGCCUUUAAUACAAGUACAUAGGAGGCUAAGGUCUAAGGAUCACAGUUCAAAGCCAGCCCGGGCAGGAAAGUCC